AUGAAAUGAAGACCAAUUGUACAUGAGCAGGAAACUGCCUAGGAAUAGUCUACAGCACGUUACCCAAGAGUAAAGUGUUAUUUUAAGUAGAGAUGCAAUCCAGCAGCAAUGUGCCUUACAUAGAACAACUGGCAGGAACCUCCCUAAGCUGCGAACCCUGAACAAAGCUUGAAUAGACGUGACCGUUUUUUCCCCACAGAGUGCCUUGUUCAUUAAGCCAUCGGCAGAAGAGUCUGUAUCCUUUACGCAAUUACUCAGCAAGUGCUUUUAAAGACGCUGUAAUAGACUCAGGAAAGUCAUCUUCUCUCAGCAGAGGAAAUUCAAGACUGUUCUCUUGACCACCAGGCUGGUCUAGAACUAGAGACACUCACUCCUGCUGUGUUGGCCACUGAGUUUGGCCACUUCAGUAAAAGAUCAGUUUUUGACUGAAGAAGAAAUGAAUUACGAACUGGACAAAGAAAAAGAGGAACAAAAAUAUCAUUAUCAGCAUCAAAUACCCUAAGGCUGAUUUGUUAAAGCACUGCCACCUUCAUUUAUUUCAAAAGCGCACGAACAAAAGGUAACAGCUACGCAUGACAAGUGGAUGAAUUUACACAGACAUCAACGCUGCACAGAAGAACUACAGGAGAGGUAUUUGCGGCUGCAGUUCAGAACAACCCAGUACUCAGCAUCAUUGUAACUAACAGUGGUAAAAGCCACUCCAGGCUCUUUCAUAAGAGUCCACAUUCUUACAGCAAUGCUUCAGAGGACCUGCUAGGAAGAUAUUGAAAGGAAGGCAAGAUUCUCAAGACUAAGGCAGCUCCACCAAAGAUACGAGUAUCCUUCCGAACAUUUGUCUUUUCAGCACGAAUAUAUUGGCAAGGAUCAAUUCAGCUACUUCACUGAAUCAAAUGUAACGCAACACUACAAGUCUACCAUUCCCUUAACAGAGAAGAAAAUCUGUCAGUUUCAGCAUAUUUUUUCCACAGUUAAAUUAAUCACGUAGGCAUUUUGAACAAAACAGUAUUUUAUCAUAACAGUCAAUAGAAAGACUGAAAAGAAAUCCAGCAACCUGAAAAAGAAACUCAACUUUUUUCAUUACUGAUUAAAACAACUUCAUUUCGGAAGAGCUGUCUCCACACCACCUGAAUGUUCCAAAAGAGCAAAACUCCACAACACAACACAAGACAACGCAACGCAACACUUUCAUGAAUUCUAUUUGGUAAAAGGUAACGUUUUUCACAGCAUGCAGUAACUCACUCAACUUUUAAUAUUGCACUUACCCUCAGCAGGCAGUUCCACAAUUCAUAUUGAAGAGAUUUAACUGCAGCAAUGAUAUCAGACAACUGUUUCAGCCAGAAUUACUUUAUCAACACUUGACUUACAUCCUUUGCACUACUAACACUCUAACAACUGCAGGGGAACAGGUCAGGGCUUGCACUGGUGAUUGAGCACCUGGUGAAGGGGUGUGGCUGGCCCAGGGAGCACAGGCAGACUGUUUGCACCUGUGCUCCCCAGCGCACCAGAAGGGGUGGACACAGGUGGAGCCCCCUGAGCUCAUAUAAGGGCCAGCCACUGAAGGGAGAGCAUGGCUUGGAUCUGGGCUGCUUCUGAGGAGGGGUACUGCACAGCCAUAAUCUGCUUCACCAGCUGGGUGAGUGCUAUUCUUCUUUCUGAGCAGGACUAUUGGUCUACCUACAAAUGCUUUGGUAUCACCAAAAACCUGACAAAAAAGAUUUUUUUUUCUUUGUGAGUAGAAUAACAGCUUAGCCUUCGUAAUUAAGUUUUACAUGCAGACAAUGCAAAUUUACCAGUUACUACAGCGUUAAAAUAGUAAACAAGUCUUUAGGAUGCUUUUGAAAAAGUUUUUGUGAUGAAAAAUAGUCUUGGAAAUUAAAGAAAAAAAACUUGCAGUAGAACUAUCAACAGGCUUGCAGGACUUUGUGGAAGAAUCUGUGAUUUUCACAAAUUACUGAUACAUGACAGUAUGAUAUGACAUGUACUGUUGGGAAGCAACAAGCUCUAUUAGGAGUUUUUUGUUAAGGAACAAAUUAUUAAAACUGUUUCCUUCCACAAGAAAAGCCACUAAGGCAACAACAAAAAAUUACCAAAAGUAACUGUAAUACAUACCAACUCAGCACAGAGUAGCUGCAGCUUUGUUUAAGCCAGCUAACAAGGGUAAAAAAAGAUAUGACAAUACUACAGGUCCUACGAAUGCAGCACAGGGGUAAGUCUCUGGGGAGUGGGGAAGACCAGAGAAAACAACCCCAGCAAUGGCAGCAGGAAAGAACCCCCUGCUGCCAUCACUGCCCUCAACUCUCACAUGCUCAUGAACAACCAUUUCUGUUGCUCCCUGUGCAAUAGCUCCUAAGGCUUCAUAAUGGGGAAAUAUCAGAGAGGAUGAAGGAUAGAGGAGGCUGGAAGGAGAUACGUGGUAUCUGUUUUAUUUAGCAUAUUUUUCCACUUCAUACACAUGUGAGAGAAAUGAUAAGGUUCUCUAACUUUCAAUAGCCUUUUCUAGAUGUAAGUAUAACACUGACACAGACUGACCAGAGCUGGACAAUGUUGUCACCCUUCUUGCUUUUGUUACUUUCAAAUCCUUGUCUGCUAGAAAUUGGCUACUAAGCUGUAAUAAACUGCAGGAAACAGAAUGGGGACUUGGGUCUGUGCUAACACAACUUUAAGCAAAACAGCUCUCCGAUGUCUUUGUAUCUACAACCAUGACAGAACACUGACACCAUGCAACAGUACCAGAACAUUUCAGAAGAGGUCAGAUAUAAUAGAACAAUACAUGAUUACCUUAAUAAUCCAACAUCGGAGUGUAACUGUCAUCUGACAGGAAAAAUCCUUCAAUUUACCACUUGCCCUACUCAAAAUCAGUAUAUUUUUUUAGCAGCAAUGACUUCAGUUCUUCAAUACUUGUUAUAUUUACUUAAGUAGAUGUUACCAGUUUUCCUACUGUGUACAAUAAUCCCCUCACCAGACUCACAAUAACAUUUACAUAUUAAAACUUUCAACUUACACUCUGAUGUCUGCAAGAGAAAGACCAGAAUCAAUGGAGGUUCAAUCAUCUUUCUGACUACAGUAUCUUACAUGCAUAAGAUGAAACUAGAAAUACAGUGACACACAGAAAUCUUUCUGUGACUAAAAAAAUUUCACCCCUAUUUUCACAGUAGCUCUGGAAUUCCUAGCCUUCCCCUCACGCCUCUUCUUUCCCUCUCUGGUAUUUAAAACUAGGUACUUACUACUUCUUCCUGCUAUGUGCCUUUUGAAAAUAAGACGCCAUUUUGAAUGAAUACUGUUUUUAGGUGAUUACAUUGCUCUCAGAGGACCAAGAAGAAACACUAAUCCUUUGCUAAUCUGAAUAGCUACUGUAACAGGUAGUUACAGCACAACUUUAUCCAGUAGCACUCUAACCUUGUAGACAUUCCUAAAGAUGGAAAGCAUUCUAAGUGUGUACUCAUUACCUGUGACAGCCAAUUAUGAUAGAGAAAUAGUUUGAAUCUUUAGGAGGAUUUACUUAAUAAUACGACACUACUUUAAGUUUCCUGAAAAUUAACACAAGUUGGUUAUACUCCAUGUAGAAAUACAGUAAAUUUGACUACUCAUCGCUCUGCUGUUGUUUCUACACCAUCUUAAAUCUUUGUCAGUAAUAAAGACAAAUCGAUAACCUUUUUCAUAAAACUGACCUGCUUCAGCUGUAAAUCAGCAUAUGUCAUCUUCCAGCUAUUGCACAGAAUGGUGUAAAGCCCCAUAAUGCCAGCAUCCCCGAGUCUUUAUUCUUAGGGCUAAAAUACAAGUGGAACAUCUCUCGGUCUGCUAUGUCUCUGUAACAAGUUCUAGAUAUUACCAGCAGGAUCCUCAGUAUGAGCAGACGUUAAAAAAGCUGUGAGGAACACUGUUUCAAUUCUUAUCUACUUAAAAGUUCGGUAAUAAAACUACUAGUGAACAUACCAGAACAGACUACUUGAUUAUUUCUACAAUCUUUUGCUUCAUUUAUUGAGUGAGAUAUUUCCACUUUUCUACUGCUUAGAUGGUGAUCUAGUUUAUUUCAUGCCUGGGACUUAUCUUCAGCACUAUUCCUCAUACUAUUUGCCUGAGUUAGAUUUAACUCUGUCCCAGUUUGACAGUUUCUUUUCUCCUUCAGUGGCUGAAAGACAUUUUAAGAAGUAAUAGAAAUGUUAGUGGCCACAGAGAUAAGACUAAUAGAGCAUGAAGAUGUUCAAUAAAGAGCACAAAGAAAUCACAUCUUUUCAGGGGAUGGGAGUGGAAGGGGAAGAAACCCCUUUAUUAAAAAAUCCAGACACUGAAGGAGAGGCAAAGGAGCGUAUGUUCAUAAUUCCACAAAUAUAAAUAAAUAAAAAUGACUGAAGAAGCAACAGACUGGCUUUACAGCUGAAAUAAUGUCAGUGGCUUGAGGAACUGGAGAAAUAAGGCGUUCACAGAUACUGAUAAUCAAGACAUCAUGAGACGCACUCUUGAAAAAACAAAGCAUCUUAAAAUCAACUGUAUGAACCAUUACCUAUAAAAGUUAGCUGAGCUGUCUCAUGCAUUCCUGUAAAUCAACAGGUGUUCCCUGUACCGUGGUUUGCCUUACUAAAAAAAAUAGCAGGAUGUUGUAAUACACAGGAAGUUCGAAACAAUUUACAUCAACUCAUUACUCCACGGGAGAAUAAUAUUUUGAAUUAAAAACUGAGAGCAAUGGCGUCAAGACAUGAAAAGAGAGCAGACUCGAAAUUACAAAAAUCUGUCAGUUCCUUUUCCACAUUAUUUUUAAUAAUCUUUUGAGAGAUUCACAUCUGGUAAGCUUUGCUUUUUUGUUGUUUUUUUGUUUUGUUUUGUUUUUGAAUCACUGUUCAUGUCUUUCUCUGAUGCUGAGUCAGAGAAACACCAGCAGAAGGACCCUUCAUUGCAAGUCAUAUGAAUUCCUUAAAAUGGCUUGGCUUUUUGAUUACCUGAAGAUGAAAUUUCUUAAGUAGUAUCAAGUAAAUUCCUUAGUAUCACUUACCUCUUUGUUCUAUUAGAGCAAAAAUCCUCCCUGAAGUACAUUAAUUUGAGUAUCACCCACUGAGAUGAAAAUCAUAUGUCAACUUAGGCGCAAUAUACCAGUUCUGUAUUCUGCUAUCCACCACACCCACCCAAGGGCAUAAGCUUAUAUUCUUGUUUCAGAACUUAUAUUGUUUCCAAGGAUGGUUUAGCUAGUGAUUUUUCUGUUCCUCUGUUUUUAUAAGAAAUUUCUUAGCAGAGAAAAGCUGAUUAAACAGGUAGCAAAGUAUAAAGGUUUGCUGGUUUGGAUGUAUUAUAUGUUAUCAAUGAACAUGUAAAUUCAUUUUUCGGCUCAAUGGAGUUUUAUAAGUUAUUGCGUUCCCGACCAGAGGACCAGGAGGAACAGAUGAGAAGAGCACAGAGCUAUGUGUGGGUAUGAUUCCUCAGUCCCACAGACAGUGGUUCCAUUCCUCCACCAUAUGAACGGCAACCCAGCUGUAGUAGCUGUGCGAGAUACUGCACCACACUGAGUGCGCCUUUACCCCUGCAGAGGAGGAGACACUGCACGUACUGACAGGUUUUUUCCCUUCUCAAUACCUAUAGGCAGGUUAAAAAUAAAUAAAUAAAUCGGCCACAAUACCAAUAAAAAUGAUAAAAUAAAAUGGUAUGACAGCAUCCAAACACUUACGUGGCUAUUUUCUGCCACACAAGACAACAUCCAAAACAAAUGGUCC
ensembl:lncRNA